rnacentral:rRNA from 1 species
UUCGAUUCUGGCUCAGAUUGAACGCUGGCGGGAUGCUUUACACAUACCAAGUCGAACGGCAGCACGGACUUCGGUCUGGUGGCGAGUGGCGAACGGGUGAGAGUAAUGUAUCGGAACGUGCCUAAUGGCGGGGGAUAACUACGCGAAAGCGUAGCUAAUACCGCAUACGCCCUUCGGGAAAGCGGGGACCGCUGGGCCUCCGCUAAUGAAACGGCCGAUAUCGGAUUAGCUAGUUGGUGGAGUAACGGCUCACCAAGGCGACGAUCCGUAGCUGGUUUGAAGAGGACGACCAGCCACACUGGGACUGAGACACGGCCCAGACUCCUACAGGAGGCAGCAGUGGGGGAAUUUUGGACAAUGGGGAAACCUGAUCCAGCCAUCCCGCGUGUGCGAUGAAGGCCUUCGGGUUGUAAGCACUUUUGGCAGGAAAGAAACGGCACGGGAUAAUACCCCGUGCAACUGACGACCACCUGCAGAAUAAGCACCGGCUAACUACGUGCCAGCAGCCGCGGUAAUACGUAAAGGUGCAAGCGUUAAUCGGAAUUACUGGGCGUAAAGCGUGCGCAGGCGGUUCGGAAAAGAAAAGGUAAAUCCAAGGCUUAACUUUGGAACUGUUUUUAACUACCGAGCUAGAGUGUGUCAGAAGGGGAGGUGGAGAUUCCGCGUGUAGCAGUGAAAUGCGUAGAUAUGCGGAGGAACACCGAUGGCGAAGGCAGCCUCCUGGGAUAACACUGACGCUCAUGCACAGCGUGAGGCAAACAGGAUUAGAUACCUGGUAGUCACGCCUAAACGAUGUCAACUAGCUGUUGGGGCCUUCGGGCCUUGGUAGCGCAACUAACGCGUGAGAUUGACCGCCUGGGAAGUACGGUCGCAAGAUUAAAACUCAAGGAAUUGACGAGAGGAUGCCACAAGCGGUGGAUGAUGUGGAUUAAUUCGAUGCAACGCGAAAAACCUUACCUACCCUUGACAUGUCUGGAAUCCGGGUGCGGGAGUGCUCGCAAGAGAACCGGAACUGCAGGUGCUGCAUGGCUGUCGUCAGCUCGUGUCUCGUGAGAUGUUGGGUUAAGUCCCGCAACAGGCGCAGCCCUUGUCAUUAGUUGCUACGAAAGGCAUAAGCCAAGGACUGCCGGUGACAAACCGGAGGAAGGUGGGGAUGACGUCAAAUUCAUCAAUAUAGCCUUCAUGGGUAGGGCUUCACGUCGUCGUGGGAUCGGGACAGGGGUCGCCAACCCGCGAGGGGGAGCCAAUCCCAGAAACCCGAUCGUAGUCCGGAUCGCAGUCUGCCGCUCGGCGACGCGUGAAGUCGGAAUCGCUGGUAAUCGCGGAUCAGCAUGUCGCAGACCGUUCCCGGGUCGCUGUACACACCGCCCGUCACACCAUGGGUGGGGUUUACCAGAAGUAGUUAGCCUAACCGUAAGGAGGGCGAUUACCACGGUAGGAUUCAUGACUGGGGUGAAGUCAUUAACAAGGUAA